UUGCAUAGCCCUUGAAUACUGUGGUUGCUCUUCAGGUCUGUACUAGGAUGCAAAAGAAAAGCUCUCUAAGCUUUCUGCCUGCCUCUGUGGCAUCCAGAUUGAAUUGGGGUGUGCAUCU